UUGGCACAGUGAGAGGGAGGUUUUCCAGGCUUCCUGUGCUGUCUUGGGGACCUGCUCAGAGGCUGGACCGCGUCAUGCUCAGAAGGCUGCCUGGAAUUUGAAUGUGGUAUCUGGAGCUUCAGUAGUCAUCCAGGACUGUAAGUGUGAAAGCCAUGCACUGAGAGUGGUGGAACAGAAGCCCUGUUUUCUUUAGACGCUGACUCCUGCUGUCUACCAGAUCCUCGUGGUACAAUGACUGGUGUAGACUGGCUUGUUGAAGUCACUCUCUGGAUCUGAGCAACGCUGGCUGAGCCGUGAUGAAGUAUUCCUAUCCAUCCACUAUGCUUCACAGUGGGAAUCUCUCACUGUUCAUCACCGCUGCCCUAGCAGCCGCAGCUAACAUCUUCUAGUCAAACAACUCUCCUUUUCAAAGGGACCAGGCACAGUUUCUGCUUAUCCCUGAGUAGCAGUGUUCAGUUUCCUGCCAGCCUGUGGAGUUUUUCAAACAAGCCAAUCACCUCCUCCUGUGGGAACUGAGAAGCACCCCACCCUCUCGAUACUACAAAGCCCCUGCUUGUUCCCUAGUGCAACUCCCAUGUGGUCCUGUGGAGCAUAUGGUAUCUUCCUCUUCUGGGCAGUGAGCAUAUGUGACUAAUAAACUAUCUAUCUCAUCUGUUCAGUGCCAGGUGUCAUUUGUUCUGCCAUCCCAUGACCUAGGGUGGGGAUUCCUUCCACACCAACAGGGUGAAUGCAAGGUGAUUAAAACAAGAAGCCUCUUCAGGAUCUAUAUCCUAGGGAAAAAAUUAAACAACAACAACAAAACAAGAAGCUUCAACUCUGACCCUGUAUUCCAGAUGUGUUACAGGGGCCUGUCUCCCCAGAGCCACUCUCCAGGUCAGAGCUUACCUCCCCUUGCUCAGGGUUAGGAGCUCUGGGCAGGAAAAGGACAUCAUGUUAAAA
rnacentral:lncRNA from 10 species